GCAGCCCCUCCCGCCCAUCAUUCUUGCCUCCGCCACCGUUAGCAACAACGCGGCCAUGCAUCCUAGACUGCUCAUGGCUGCUCGCGUUGGCGACACCCAGAGGCUCAAGGAUCUACUGGAUGAGGGAAGCAGCGUGGGGGCGCAUCUCGAUUUCGUUGUCCGAGUUGAGGUCCCACAACCUUCCACAGCAACGCUCCUUGACGUUGUCACCGCCGUUGAGGGUGACUCCGUGCUCCACGUAGUAGCAGCGGGCGGCGACGGUGAGGAGUUCUUGGAAUCGGCAAAGGUGAUCCACGACAGGGCCAAACACCUCCUGGCAAUGCCCAAUAGGAAAGGCGACACGCCGCUGCACCUUGCCGCUAGGAUUGGGAACGCCAGGAUGGUGUCUCACCUGCUUGACCUGGCCAAGACUGACGAGGGGAUCAGGCUAGUGAAGAAGCUCGUGCGCGCCAAAAACAGGCUUGGGGAGACAGCUCUACACGAGGCGGUCCGGGUCGGGCAUCGGGGUAUGGUCAUCCGGCUGGUGGAGGAGGAUUCUGAAUUGGCUGGCUUCCCAAGGGAUGGCGCAUCGCCAUUGUACCUCGCCAUCCUGCUUGACGAGGUCAGUAUUGCGCGGUCACUGCAUGACAUGAGUGAUGGGAACCUCUCUUAUGGUGGACCAAAUGGGCAAAAAGCUUUACAUGCUGCGGUUCUCCGGAGUGAAGUGCUGACGGUUAUGCUAUUGCGUUGGAACAAAAGCCUCACGGAACAAGGGGACCAUGAUGGCUGCACACCUCUUCACUUCGCGGCAUCGCAAGCCGAAGAACAAAACUGUAGGAUCUCCCCUCAUUCCAAGUUCCCGUGGGUUCGCUUGAGGACGUCGACCACGACCAACAUUCCACUGUUGUUGCUGCAAACCAACCCUUCUUCAGCAUACCAGCCAGAUGCCGUCCUAUACACGUUGCCGCUGCAGUUGGCGCGAGCAGGACGGUCUCCACUCUUAUUGGAAUGUCUCCAGACGGCGCGGGUUUGCGUGACGCGAACGGGAGGACUUUCCUCCACGUUGCCGUGGAGAAGAAGAGGUGCAAUGUAGUCAAGCAAGCUUGCCGGAUUCCAUGGAUUCUGAACAUGCAGGACAACGAUGGGAACACUGCUCUGCACUGUUAAGGCUGCGCAGAGCGAUACGUUUUUUCACCUGUUCGGGAACCGGCAAGUACGCAUAGAUUUGACAAAUAACAAUGGGCAAACACCUCGAGACCUGUCACUGGUUGGCAUCCCUCCAGGGUUGUCUUAUAAAUGGAACCCCAAGCAAAUGAUCCAUCGUGCUCUGACACGUGCGAGCGCGAGCCGUGGCGUCCGUCGCUGGGACCAGUUCGAGGAAGAGUACAUCCUGCGACUAAGACGAGAGGACGAGGAGACAGAAUCGCAGAAGCUGAACAACUCGACGCAGACUCUAGGCAUCAGCUCUGUGCUCAUAGUGACGGUGACGUUCGGCGGCGGCGCCCCGACGCUCGCCGGGAGGUACACCUUCGAUGUUUUCGUCGUGGCCAAUGCGCUGGCGUUCAUAUGCUCCUCUCUGGGCACGGCCGGCCUCAUGUACUCUGGCAUCACCACCGUGGACCUGCCCAUCAGGCAGAGCCACUUCCUGAAGUCCCUCUUCUUUGUGUCAAGCUCGUUGACCUCCCUUGUCGUGGCCUCGCGUGGGGCACCUACACAGUCCUGGCCCCGGUUGCUCACAACACUGCCGUGGCGAUCUGUGUGAUCAGCCAGGUGGUCGUCAUCUACCGAAGUAUAGGGCGUUUCCAGAGAAUGAUAGAUCUUGCGAGACCAUUAUAUGUCAGAGCAGGGAUUCGGCCAUUGCUGAUGCCAGCGAAAGAUGUCUUUACAAGGAUGUUGAGGUUAUAUUGGCCCUUCAUAGUGAUAUUUAGUUGGGCCGCUUGCGCAAGAAACCAUACAUAGCAAAGUAUAGGCAGCAAUAUUAUGAAGAUGUACAUUCCGCGUUGGUCACUAAUAUAUACUAUGUAUUAUU